UCUCGACGGGGAAACACAUCUCGACACAACACCGGUAACCAUAGCAGCGCCGGUAAAUAAACCCCGCUAAACCCAAUCCCUACGAAAGCUCCCCGCGCUUUAGGCCGUGAUAUUAUAUAUGUAAGGGAUAAUGUAUAGAACGACGGUCAUUAUCGAGAAAAUAUCGAUUGUGUUUGUGUAUGUGUUUGCAUAUGCAUGUGUGUGUGUUUAGGUAUGCGUAUAUAUAUGUAUAUGCAUCACCCAUCUUGAUGUUGGUUCUGUUUGUCUUGUUUUUGUCCUUAUUUUAACUAUAAGCGUCUAAAUGCAUUAGCACUUUGUAAUUAUUGUAUUUAUUGCAUUGUUAAUUUAUCCUGUGUCCUUCAACUGCUGCUGGGCUGUUCUGCAACAAACAAAUUUCUCCUACGGGAGAUUAAUAAAGUAUUAUCUUAUCUUAUCUUAUCUUAUACAUAUCCCGCAAAUUACAUUGACAAGUUACCGGACUUGCGGAUUGAUACUAAAAACGUUGUUAGAGGCAAAAAAAAUAAUUUGUUAUCAAAAUGAACACUUUCCUAGGUUUGCACUGUUUCGAAGGGAGGAAGGAGCAGGACCCGCACAAAGCAGCAGGAGGAGAAGACCACGGAGGACACAACUUUUGAUAAAGGUCUCCGUCCUUAAGCAGGACAUUGCGGUGUACCGCUGUACACAAGAAAUCUUAGUCACCUGCACAGUGGUACUGCAGGACACAAUGUCCCGCGAGGAGUUCCUGCACGCCCUCAGGGAUAAAGUGCCGUACAUGCCAGAGGCCUUCGACCUCUGCAGGCUCAUUGGCCGUAGAUUCAUCGUUCUGGUCGAUGUCUGCCCGAGAGACCUUCGGGGACGUGGCAUGAUGGGCCGGUCCAAUCUGUACAUCCGACCAAAGGUACCUCUGCCACCUGCUGGCCAACCCCAACCUGCCGGCCCAGAAACCCUGCACACCCUGCCCGGCCCUUCUCUACCUCCCAGCACUUCUCCACCUCCCAGCCGUUCUCCACCUCCCAGCCGUUCUCCACCUCCCAGCCGUUCUCCACCUGACAGC